UGUCGCCUGCACUUGCCGACUUGAUGAUAAAAACGUUACUUGAUCGCGUGAUGGAGACAAUCGACAUACCGAUUUCGUUUUUCUGGUACCUCAAGAUUUUUUAUUGGAAUGUUAGAUGGACGGAAUCGAUCUACUAGCAUAAUUAGUGACAUUCUUUUAAUAUUAUUACAUAUAUCAUGUAGUUCCGGAACCAGAAAUCGAUUUUAAAUAAAAUUCUGAAUCCUUUAAUGGGAGCAUAGAGUCUAAGCGACGACACGACCAGGCACUUCGAAGAAAAAUCGAUACUAAAAUUGUUUGUUGACGAUUUACCGUCAGUUACCACAAAUAUAGCGACCCCUUGAUAAUGAUAAAAAUAAUCUUCUCAAGCAACACUGUUCAAGUUGCUCCAGAAUAAAUAAACAAACAUUCCGUGAUCGCAAAACAUGCGGGGAAGCAUAAUAGGGUUAAAAUGUCGAGAAUGUACAAAAUAUUGUGGAAACUAUUGAUUAGGAAGUGUUUCAGGCAAGAGGACAUAUAUGUACGUUGGACUGCUGAAUGAGACCUCAUGAUAGGAUCGUGUAAAAAGUGAAAACAUUUGGAUUCGUUGGUAUGAAUGCCCUUUGGACUUUGAUGAAGAACAAGUAUCAGUGAACUACCGGUAAACACCUGAAGUGCACCAUCUGUUGCAUUUGGCACAAUAGGCGAUUCUGAAUAAAGAUUUCAUACCAAGAAAAAAAAAUUGUAAUUUAAAAUUCUCAGCGAAUCGGAGAAAUAAUCCAGACAAAUGAUGAAUGAUAAAAGUUCUGCACGAGAAAGCUACCACGAAGUCAAGUGGUUAAAACGAAAAAUAAAACAUAACUUAAAUGACACUUAUUGUUAACAAAAUAUUUUCGACGCAUUAGAUUUCAUACCAAGGAUAUUGAUUUUUUUAUUUGUUUAUUUGGGUUCUCAUCUCAGAAUUUCAGUAGUAUUGUUUUAUUAAUCGUAAUGGUUAGUAUUGUUUUAUUAAUCGGGUCUAGAAACAACGAUCAUACAGUAGUUAAUAUGGAGAUUCAUGUGCUUAAUUUCGUAAAGAGCUUCUAAUGGCGUUUUUUUUUAUUGGGAUUUUUAUGGAUUUAUAGGAAACCAUUGAACUUUAAAAUGAGAACAUUGAAACUUGUCAAAGGUGACAUUAUUCAUACUUAUCAGGUAAUCGCCAUUGGCAU